GACGAACGCUGGCGGCGUGCUUAACACCUGCAAGUCGAACGCUGAAGCUUGGUGCUUGCACUGGGUGGAUGAGUGGCGAACGGGUGAGUAAUACGUGAGUAACCUGCCCUUGACUCUGGGAUAAGCCUGGGAAACUGGGUCUAAUACUGGAUACGACAUGUCACCGCAUGGUGGUGUGUGGAAAGGGUUUUACUGGUUUUGGAUGGGCUCACGGCCUAUCAGCUUGUUGGUGGGGUAAUGGCUCACCAAGGCGACGACGGGUAGCCGGCCUGAGAGGGUGACCGGCCACACUGGGACUGAGACACGGCCCAGACUCCUACGGGAGGCAGCAGUGGGGAAUAUUGCACAAUGGGCGGAAGCCUGAUGCAGCGACGCCGCGUGAGGGAUGACGGCCUUCGGGUUGUAAACCUCUUUCAGCACGGAAGAAGCGAAAGUGACGGUACGUGCAGAAGAAGCGCCGGCUAACUACGUG
rnacentral:rRNA from 1 species